GGAAAAGGUAGAAUUUGGGAUAACUUAUUAAAAUGUUUAGAAGUGCAAUGCUUAGCCCUUAGGUUCUUUGUCUUCUCCUUCCUCAGGGAUUGGAUGGUCUUGCUAGUGCCUUGUUGACAUUAGUGGUCUUGAGGGACCAUUUCUAGUGCAAGUUGCAUGUCAAAAUCAUGCUUGAUGAAAUGGAAGCAUUAAUUCAUUUUUCCUUACUUUGAUUCCUUCUUUUUUUUUUAAUCUUUUUCAUGCACGACUUUUU
rnacentral:misc_RNA from 1 species